UAUUCUCCUCCUCCAAAAGCCUUCUAGAAAAUAACCAGUUGUCUACUUACAUCUUUUGGCUUCAUGAUCCAGAGUACUUGUCUGGAUUCAUAGCCCUUUUUAACCAACUUGUGCAGUCAUCUUGCAGUAGAGUCCAUUACGAGGAAUGAUGGACUCAGCAUGUUACAUGCAAGAACUCCUGCGGUUUACAUUCUCAUUUCUCCUUAGGAUGAUGGUCUCAUCCUUCUCUCUCAUUCACUUCCUGGCUUUCCUGCAGCACCGUUCAGAUCUCCUUGGCAGUGCAGAGAAGAGCUGGAUUUAUGGACGUCUCCAUGAACUGGGCAGAGCACAGAAUAGCCAUUGCCAUGACUAGGGUUGCCCUGCCAAACACUAACUACAAACGGAAUUCCUUGCCACCAACAUCAGGGAUUUUAAGCAGGCCUUUCCAAAUAAACCCAAUUUAUUUAGCUGAUAACGUAUAAACAGUUUAUCGGCUUUUGCGCAUUCUCUGUGCAACAGGAUGGCUGUUGUUCUUGGAAUCCUGUUUGGUCAUAAUAUUUAGAAGAGGGUUCUGAUAGCUGAGAUAAGCCGCUCACCCACAACAGAUGGCUCUGGAGACGCACAGCUGA